AACUCCAGGCUCUGUAGCAUCAUCACACAACCCUUCAUUAAGCAACAAAUAUCAUUUUUAUUAUAUCUUUUGUAUUUUUAUUAAUAAUAGAUUAUCAUGAGAAGCUUGAAGUUAAAAUUGCUGAAAUAUUGGAAGAGAAGACACAAGUAGAGGAGAAGAAACAGAUUAUUACUGAAGAUUAUGAGAAACUUAAAAUCAAAGUAGCUGAACUAUUGGAGGAGAAAGAGGAACAAUAUCUCAAGGAGAAACAGAUCAUUAUUGACGACAAUCAAAAUCUUAUUUUGGAGAAAGACAAAGUUAUAGCCAAACUGACAUCACAAGUAGAGGAACAAUCACAGAAUGAGAAACAGAUCA